rnacentral:misc_RNA from 1 species
AAAUCACACUAUUAAAUAAUAUAAUUAGACCAUAUUUUAAAAACUUUUGCCAUGGAAUUAAAUAUGUGAAGGUGGUUAUAAUAUCUAUGUGUUAACAUGAAUUGAUGACUAAUUACUAUAUGGGUUAAUAUAUGACUCUUUAGAUUUAUGCCUCAGUAUGAAGUGAAUUGUAAGUGUAUUUAAAAUUUUUAAUUAUCUUGGAAGAUUCUGAAAGGAGUUAUGGAUAAUUACUAAAAUAAAUAAAUAAAUAAGAAA